rnacentral:rRNA from 1 species
UAAAGGUUUGGUCCUGGCUUUUUAUUGUUUUGUAGCAACCUUACACAUGCAAGACUACUCCUCACGCCAGUGAAAUGCCCUUAACAUCAAACUAGAUCAAGAGGAGCGGACAUUAAGCACAGUAAUCAGUAGCUCAAGAUGCCUUGCUUAACCACACCCCCAAGGGAUACAGCAGUGAUAAAUAUUUAGCAAUGAACGUAAGUUUGUCUAAGUUAUGCUACUUUAGGGUUGGUAAAUCUCGUGCCAGCCACCGCGGUCAUACGAUUAACCCAAAUUAAUAAAUAUCCGGCGUAAAGCGUGAUUAGAAUAAACAACAAAAUAAAAUCAAAUAACAACUAAGCUGUAGAAAGUAAUAGUUGCAAACAAAAAUAAACAACGAAAGUGAUUUUAUACUCUUCGAACUCACGAUAGCUAAGGCCCAAACUGGGAUUAGAUACCCCACUAUGCUUAGCCCUAAACUUUGAUAAUUUCAUAACAAAAUUAUUCGCCAGAGAACUACAAGCCAAAGCUU